CUUGAUAUGCAGCUAAAGUUUAUUAUGUGACUUAUAUGACUCAACUUGAAAGAUUUAAGUUGUUUGAAGCAUAUGCAAUUUUUGGUCCUGAAGUACCGCAUCCUAAGUACAAUUUGUGUAUAUAUGAAUCUUGCCAUAACUAUAAGCAUGAUGGAUUAAAGAAUGCAUCUAUGGAGAUAUUGAAGAGCUAUUCCACGACAUUAUAUGAAGAUGUUCAUAUC
rnacentral:lncRNA from 1 species